CUCGUCGACAACACCCCGUAGCAGCUUCAAAGUGGGGAGUGCUUUCGCCGGGAGGGAGGCGUGAGGAGCGGCUAAUCUUGUAGGUGAAAAGUGGGUUACCUCGGCGUGGUUUGGAUUUGCCGUUCUCUAACCAGGCGGAAAUGAGUCCCGGUGCCUGACAUCACCAGGUGCUUGGGCUUCUCGUCACCCUCACCACCCUCACCGGGUCUGACAUGACGCACCAUUGCAGAUUACCUGCGAUCACCUACAGACCAGUCCACCAGGGCCUGUGCUUGGUGCUUGGAGUAGAGAUGGGCCAGACACCAUUCCUGCCCUUGGAGAGCGUCAAGCCGAGGACGGAGACUAAGACACUGGCCCAAAAGAAACUCUUGCUGAGUAUGGCGUCUGUCUGCCUGGGCAGAAGCCUUCUGCCAUAGGUUGAGACAAGGGAACUGUAACCUCAUAAUCUCAAUAGAGACCGGGUAUAGAGGACCUCAGCCCCAAUGGGCCCCUCUUUUUCUCCAUCCCUCGUUGCUCCGAGGUUCGCAACCACGAUUGAGAUUUUGGUGGAAAGGUCAAGACAUAGUAAUGGUGGAUCACAAUCAAAAUAAACGACCCGGCUCGGCGCCUGUGGCUCAGGCGGCUAAGGCGCCAGCCGCAUACACCUGAGCUGGCGGAUUCCAAUCCAGCCCGGGUCCGCCAAACAACAAUGACGGCUGCAACCAAAAAAUAGCUGGGCGUUGUGGCGGGCACCUGUAUGUAGUCCCAGCUACGUGGGAGGCGGAGGCAGGAGAAUCGCUUGAGCCCAGGAGUUGGAGGUUGCUGUGAGCUGUGAUGCUACGGCACUUUACCCAGGGCGACAGCUUGAGGCUCUGUCUCAUAAAUAAAAUACAAUAAACGACUCCUUUCCCCCUUCAUUAGGUUUAGAUCUUAGUGGUCCCCAGUAGAACAUCCCACCACCCCUCAACGACGCAAGUAGGAUCAUCCGUAUAGAAGUUGAACUCACUGCCAGAAAUAAGGAAAGUUGCAUGCCACAGAGCAAGAACGAGCCAGAAGCUGAACUCUUCAAGGACUGAAUAGGGGUGGGGCUUAUUAGCCGGCUUUAUCAGGAAGCGCGGUAGGAAAGGUGGUCAGAAGAUGCAGAGCUGGCGGGGUCUAUGCCAUAAAUUGACGACGGAGAAUGUUCUGGAUGUACUGAGAAGGGAAGAGAAAACUGCCACUGGCCCAGAAGUGAAGGUAAACCAGGCAAAGGGAAGAAAAACACUGAGAAUAAGCGACAAAUGUAUGCAGUAGGCUUGGCGAGGGUGCGAGAACGGAGUCCUGCACUGGCCUGGGAUGAAUCCUUGCGGCAGACCCUGCACAGAUACACUGUCUACCAUACCAAAUCAGGUUGACUGACCCCCAGGACUGCUGGAGUUCCAGCACUGUCCCCGCUGUGGGACAACAAACCACAUAGCUCUGCGUCCUUUCUCAAGCUAAGCUUCGACGAGCGCGUGAAGGGUCAGGGCCAACUAACGGUUAGAGGAACGCUGGCUUUUACAAGGGUAUAUGUGAAACUUGGUAAACGGUCUGCGAAGCUAACGAAUUGACACCUAAUGAACAUAUCAAUAUACACAGCCACGAUUUAAUAAAACAAAACAAAAACAACGGUGGCAUCU